GUCUUAGUUUGGCGGCUGUAAUGGAAUUACUGUAACUGCGUGUCUUAAACAGCAAGCAUCUGUUUUUCCUAGAUUUGGAGGCUAGAAGUCCAAUGUCAAAGCCCAGGUGAAAGCGGUGUCUGGUGAGAGCCUGCUUCCUGAUCCGGAGACGGCCAUCUUGUCACUGCAUCCGCACGUGGACGAAGGGGAGAAAGUUCCACUUGAACCCACACGGCUCUGCUCUGUCUGUCUUUCGAGAACGUUCAGGCUUUGA
rnacentral:lncRNA from 1 species